UGCCUUUUUUCUAAUGAUCAAAUACAAAGAAGAAGGGGCCUUAAAUAGACAAUACAAUAGACCAAACGAAGGAAACUAAUAAAAGAGAAUAAUGGCUGGAGAUAUGCAUGGAUCUUUGAUUGAGAAGGAAACAAGGAGAGAUAAUUAUGCACAAAAUAAUGUUCUCAAUAUAAAAACCCUAGAUAAAUGACCUUCAAAUGUGUCACGAUUUGUACACUGUAGCCACCAGCACCAACCCUAAGUUGAUUGCCUCUGAAGAACGUUACCUGCUUCAUCCUUCUAGAUUCAUUUGAUGGUUACACCAAAAUCAUCGACGAAAUUAAUACCGAGUGUCGUUUGAUGGUUACACCAAAAUCAUCGACGAAAUUGCAGGUUUCAGUAGGCAUGAUAUCAGAUCUCCAAAGCAAUCGUUUCUCUUCACUACUGUAAUUCAAUCAAUACUAUUAUAAUCGUUAUGCCCCUUGCCUUGCUAACAUCAAAGACAUGGCCUUUGGUUGUGGGCAUCAAGUAUUGUUAUUUUUCCAUAUUUUACUUCAAACAAAUUUCAAGUUUGUCGCAUUUGGUAGUCAAGAACAAAUCGCCACAAUGCUUUCUAUGACUUUGUUGGUAAUCCAAGGCCGUUUACUUACCUUGAUGCUGCAACUCUUCGAUUCCGAAUUCGACAAGAGCUAUCGAACUUGAAGGAAUCUUGUAGAUUGCGCAGUCGUUAAAGAGCUAUGGUGGAAAGCUUUUUAAAUUGUGUUGAUUUAAAGUGGAGAGCGUGAUGAAUGAAGAAGCUGAAAAAAGAGUCUUUUAAAAGCUGCCGACAAUGAAGAACAGGUAGGUUGAACCCAAAAUAGGCCCUCGUCCAUCUUUUGCACAACUUGUCUACAUAUCACUCUACGUGUUAGUCUGCUAGGUUAUGAUAAAUUUUAAACAACACAACAUUUGUAUAGCUUCGUUUUGUGCAACUUUCAUAUAUAAGUUAGGCGAUGCAGCUAUGGAACAUCGGUGUAACAAAUACUUGGUUUUAUUUAGUACGGCUAUGAAUGGAUCCCCGUCGUAUUGCGGGGGGUGAUA